rnacentral:rRNA from 1 species
UGGGGAAUAUUGCGCAAUGGGGGCAACCCUGACGCAACGACCCCGUGUGAGGGAAGAAGGGUUUCGGGUCGUAAACCUCUGUCAGGAGGGAAAAAACCCUUGGGGUCCAACAGGUCCCUUGGCUGACGGUACCUCCAGAGGAAGCACCGGCUAACUCCGUGCCAGCAGCCGCGGUAACACGGAGGGUGCGAGCGUUAAUCGGAAUCACUGGGCGUAAAGCGCACGUAGGCGGCCAGGUCAGUCAGAUGUGAAAGCCCACGGCUCAACCGUGGAAUUGCAUUUGAAACUGCCUGGCUGGAGUCUCGGAAAGGGCGGCGGAAUUCCCGGUGUAGGAAUGAAAUCCGUAAAUAUCGGGAGGAACACCAGUGGCGAAGGCGGCCGCCUGGACGAACACUGACGCUGAAGUGCGAAAGCGUGGGGAGCAAACAGGAUUAAAUACCCUGGUAGUCCACGCUGUAAACGAUGGAUGCUAGGUGUCGGGGGGCAACCUUCGGCGCCGCAAUUAACGCGUUAAGCAUCCCGCCUGGGGAGUACGGUCGCAAGGCUG